rfam:Homo sapiens chromosome 1, GRCh38 reference primary assembly.
GCCGGGCGCGGUGGCUCACGCCUGUAAUCCCAGCACUUUGGGAGGCUGAGGCAGGUGGAUCACCUGAGGUCAGGAGUUCGAGACCAGCCUGGCCAACAUGGUGAAACCCCGUCUCUG